AGCCAUAUCACAUUGAAACACCAGUUCCCAUAGUUCCCGUACAAUCACCAAAGUUAAGCAGUGUCAAGCCUGGUCAGUACCUAGAUGGGUGACCUCUUGAGAAUACCAGGUGUUGCAAG